CUCCGGUUGAUCCUGCCGGACCCGACUGCUAUCAGAGUGGGACUAAGCCAUGCGAGUCAACAUAGCAAUAUGUGGCAUACGGCUCAGUAACACGUAGUCAACAUGCCCAGGGGACGUGGAUAACCUCGGGAAACUGAGGAUAAACCGCGAUAGGUCAUCACUUCUGGAAUGGGUAAUGACUUAAAUCUAUAUGGCCCCUGGAUUGGACUGCGGCCGAUCAGGCUGUUGGUGAGGUAAUGGCCCACCAAACCUGUAACCGGUACGGGCUCUGAGAGGAGGAGCCCGGAGAUGGGCACUGAGACAAGGGCCCAGGCCCUAUGGGGCGCAGCAGGCGCGAAACCUCUGCAAUAGGCGAAAGCUUGACAGGGUUACUCUGAGUGAUUUCCGUUAAGGAGAUCUUUUGGCACCUCUAAAAAUGGUGCAGAAUAAGGGGUGGGCAAGUCUGGUGUCAGCCGCCGCGGUAAUACCAGCACCCCGAGUGGUCGGGACGUUUAUUGGGCCUAAAGCAUCCGUAGCCGGUUCUACAAGUCUUCCGUUAAAUCCACCUGCUUAACAGAUGGGCUGCGGAAGAUACUAUAGAGCUAGGAGGCGGGAGAGGCAAGCGGUACUCGAUGGGUAGGGGUAAAAUCCGUUGAUCCAUUGAAGACCACCAGUGGCGAAGGCGGCUUGCCAGAACGCGCUCGACGGUGAGGGAUGAAAGCUGGGGGAGCAAACCGGAUUAGAUACCCGGGUAGUCCCAGCUGUAAACGAUGCAGACUCGGUGAUGAGUUGGCUUAUUGCUAACUCAGUGCCGCAGGGAAGCCGUUAAGUUUGCCGCCUGGGGAGUACGGUCGCAAGACUGAAACUUAAAGGGAAUUGGCGGGGGAGCA
rnacentral:rRNA from 1 species